rnacentral:rRNA from 1 species
AUCAGACACGGUGUCAGCAGCCGCGGUAAUACGUAGGGUGCAAGCGUUAAUCGGAAUUACUGGGCGUAAAGCGUGCGCAGGCGGUAAUGUAAGACAGUUGUGAAAUCCCCGGGCUCAACCUGGGAACUGCAUCUGUGACUGCAUUGCUGGAGUACGGCAGAGGGGGAUGGAAUUCCGCGUGUAGCAGUGAAAUGCGUAGAUAUGCGGAGGAACACCGAUGGCGAAGGCAAUCCCCUGGGCCUGUACUGACGCUCAUGCACGAAAGCGUGGGGAGCAAACAGGAUUAGAUACCCUGGUAGUCCACGCCCUAAACGAUGUCAACUGGUUGUUGGGUCUUCACUGACUCAGUAACGAAGCUAACGCGUGAAGUUGACCCGCCUGGGGAGUACGUUCGCAAGAAUGAAACUCAAAGGAAUUGACGGG